GCCCGCGGGCCGCGCGGGGUAGGUGGCCAGGCCUCGGGGAGGGGAUGGAGCUGCCAGAGAGGCUGGGGGUGCGCCCUCCAACUCCCCGUAUCUUCCCAGCGGCUUCAUUUCUGUGAGGACGGGGAAACAGAACGGUCCGGCGGUGCCAGGGAGGAGGCUGAAGUAACCCCUGUCCUCUCGCGCCCCGCUGCUUUCGGGUGAAGCCGGGGCAUUCUGAGGCAGAGGGGCGCGGGCCUGAUGGGGGAGGCAUUGGGUCACGGGUGUGCUUAUGGAGGGGUUGGCUGUGGAGCUCCUGGGACUUCCAGAGCCAUCGGGAAGUCCUGAGAUGAGUUUUCUGCGCUGUAAUCUCCAUGACCGUGAUGUUCUCCAUGACCCUACACAGUAAACUCUAGAGAAUUGCCAGAGGCCAAUCUUGAAUCCCGUGCAUUCUGUGGAGUAGCUGUCCACCUAAGCUGUGUGCGCCUUUACAGCUCUUGACUGUGCAUUGGUCUCUUGCAUCUCUCAACUUCAUUGCUUCUAAGGGUUACCAACUCUUCCACGUUUCUGUAAAUAAAGUCUUUAGGCCAACAACGCACUUAAACACAUUCUUAACUAAAUUGCUUUAUGUCACUUGCUUAUAAUUAAGCAUGUGCUUCAACUCUGCCGGAUUAAAGCCAAAAUCUGCAUAAGCUCUAUUGGGUAAAAUUUACCAGCUUCAUCAGGCUUAGCUUUGUGAGUCAUUCAAUCAGCAGCAGCCCAAAGCUUUUUUGCUACAAGCUUAAGUUAUUCCCAGGUUGUCCUACAGGAUCUCCCUGUCUCCAUGACAAAGCUUAUGCCCUUCGUUCAGGUCCUGUUAGAAGUAAGAUGCAUCUGCCUGGUGAUUCAGCUUUAUGUAGGGUUUCCAUAUCCUUUAAUGAGGUGCAUUAAUAAGAUUGUGUAUCCUUAUGCAAGCCAUAGGUUGUGCCGUCGAGUUACAGUGUAAUAAGCUGCAUUAAAAAGAAAAUAGUAAUGACAUCAGGGCCCAGUUUGAAGGUCUGCCCUGGCUUUAUGCAGUACAUGUAUUUCAAGAUGAUUGCGUCAAGUAUUCAUUCUGCAUAAGCAGAGGAAGGAGUUAAUAAAAUGUAGCUACAUUUCAUGCAGUCAUCUACAAUUUUACAUAAAUACAAGAAACGCUAUCAACCUGCAUGCCGAAUAAAAUGGAAAACUAUUCAAUUUCCAAAAAUAGAGUUUUAGAAACCGAGCGAAAAUGUACGUUUGUGCAGCUUUGAUUUUCUUUUUUUCUUCAAAGACACUUAAUUUGGUGACUAUUCAUUUUUACCUGUCAAAAAAAAUCCUUUGCAUUUCAUUAAGUCUGAGUCAGGAAGCUCAGCGCUAAGGCCUUAUUUUAAGAUACACUGUGGAAUUAAAGCUUUCUGCAGGGUGAGCACAAGUCUUUCUCCAAGGACGCAUCAGUUGGAACCUGCUUUUCAGAAAAAUUUGUUUGGCAAUUAACAGUAAUAUGGAGAAGAAAGCGUGUCUUGUACUUAAUGCAGAAAAGUAAGACUCAGCAUGUUUGCGUCCUCUUAUUACUCUCUUACCAUUCUUCUGUGACCUUCAUCAAGACAUGCUCUGAUUUUCAAAUGUCAGUUUGGGUUAGGGUGGAGUUUUCUGUUGUUGUUUCAAGAGGAACCGAGUGCCUACAAAUUGUGGUGUUGAGCGAGAAGCCUACAGUACUUUGUUCAUCUGGAAGUCCCCCCAAGCGAGGCAGAGGAUAGUGAAGGAACACGUCAGACCUUGGACCUUUGCCACACAGAUUUUCAAAUGAUGACAGUUGCUCACCAAGCCACCCAGCUGUGGCACUGACGUUUGUAUUGGUGUUUUGACACACCUUAAGUACUAUGGUGUUUAUUAAUGGUUUGACAUAACAAAAUAGAAAAGGAAUAUAUAAAGCCAAGAGCUUGAAGAGCUUAAAAGAGCACUUACAUUUUGACCUUUUUAUUCGUUUUCCUCAUGCCACUCUGGAAAUAGCAGGCAAACGCUGCUUUUCCCUAGGGAAAAAUUUAAGAGUCUUUAAUAUAGUCUUCCCUAUCGCUUCUGAAUUCUGGAAGUUACCCAGAGAAACCCUCUAAAAGGCAGUGUGUGUGCAGCGUGGAGCAGAGUGUGGUUCAGUUUACCUUUUUUUUUUUUUUUCUCCUAGGAGGGCUAAAUAAUGGAAAGUGAAAGGCAUUUGUCCCUCUCCCCCCCCCCCCCUUUUGUUAAUUCCUUUUUCUGUAUAAAUCAAAAACCCAAGAAAACCAGGAAGCACAAGUAAGCUAUCUAAAAGUGUGGCUUUUGGGAAGUGUUGGAGAAUAUAUGUGUGUUUUAAAAUGUCUUAAACAGGAAGUGGCUUCAGAAGUAACUGUAGAAUAAGCAGAACCAUCUUCAUUUGACCUCCUGCGUGACAAACUGAUGGGUUUCAUUCAUUCAAUUUAUUCAUCAAGCCAGUAACUUCUAAUGAAGCAGCAGCUGAUCUGGAAAGAUCCAGUCUGGGAAUUUGAGCAAGAAAGCCACUGGUUAGGUGCCACCCAGCCUUGUUUGCUGUUGUGCAACAGAAAGCUUAACAACUCCAUCCUUUCAGUGUGCAGAUAAAAUAGGAUGAAGAAAACAAAAAGACAGACUAUCUUGACACAGAUCUGUGGCACAACCUCAAGCAGACUGCUGUGGUAUAGCCAUCCACAGCCAUCUCAAAGAGACUGGGAACUUCUGAGGAUUCAAAGAAAAGCAACAAGUAGGAUCAAGAACAUGGCAAUUCACAAAAGAUUGAAAACAUCUGGAUUAUUAUCUUCAGAGAAAAACAGUGGAGAGAGAAUAAAAGUACAUGAAGUAAUGUCUGGUACAGACUGAUCAGGAGGUUCUCUUUUUCCUGUCUCAUACUGUAGAAUAAAGGGACCUUCUGUGAACUAUCAAACUAAAGGUAGGAUAUUUAAAACUGAAAAAUAAAAA